AGCAAGCCGCGGUAAUUCCAGCUCCAAUAGCGUAUAUUAAAGUUGUUGCAGUUAAAAAGCUCGUAGUUGAACUUCGGGGUUCUACCCCAUUGGUCAGGGCUUAAUUGUCUGUACUGGUGGAUGGAUCUCGUACCUUCUGAGGAACUUUUCAUGCCAUUUAUUUGGUGUGAUGGGAAAUCAGGACUGUUACUUUGAAAAAUUAGAGUGUUUAAAAGCAGACUAUCGUCUGAAUACAUUAGCAUGGAAUAAUGAAAUAGGACGGACUGAUUCUAUUUCGUUGGUUUCUAGGAUCACCGUAAUGAUUAAUAGGGAUAGUUGGGGGCAUUAGUAUUCAAUUGUCAGAGGUGAAAUUCUUGGAUUUAUUGAAGACUAACUACUGCGAAAGCAUUUGCCAAGGAUGUUUUCAUU
rnacentral:rRNA from 1 species